rnacentral:rRNA from 1 species
AUUGAACGCUGGCGGCAUGCUUUACACAUGCAAGUCGAACGGCAGCGCGGGCUUCUGCCUGGCUGCGAGUGGCGAACGGGUGAGUAAUGCAUCGGAACGUGCCCAGUAUUGGGGGAUAGCCCGGCGAAGGCCGGAUUAAUACCGCAUACGACCUGAUGGUGAAAGCGGGGGACCGAAAGGCCUCGCGCUAUUUGAGCGGCCGAUGUCGGAUUAGCUAGUUGGUUGGGUAAAGGCUUACCAAGGCGACGAUCCGUAGCUGGUCUGAGAGGACGACCGGCCACACUGGGACUGAGACACGGCCCAGACUCCUACGGGAGGCAGCAGUGGGGAAUUUUGGACAAUGGGGGCAAACCUGAUCCAGCCAUGCCGCGUGCGGGAAGAAGGCCUUCGGGUUGUAAACCGCUUUUGUUCGGGAAGAAAUCCUCUGGGCUAAUACCCCGGGGGGAUGACGGUACCGGAAGAAUAAGCACCGGCUAACUACGUG